rnacentral:rRNA from 1 species
GCCUGCGUCCCAUCAGCUAGUUGGUGAGGUAACGGCUCACCAAGGCUACGACGGGUAGCUGGUCUGAAGGAUGAUCAGCCACACUGGACUGAGACACGGCCCAGACUCCUACGGGAGGCAGCAGUGGGGAAUAUUGGUCAAUGGGCGAAAGCCUGAACCAGCAAUGCCGCGUGAGUAAUGAAGGCCUUCGGGUUGUAAAGCUCUGUCGGGAGGGACGGUACCUCCAAAGGAAGCACCGCUAACUCUGUGCCAGCAGCCGCGGUAAUACAGAGUGCAAGCGUUGUUCGGAAUUACUGGGCGUAAGCGCGUGUAGCUGCAAUGUAAGUCGGAUGUGAAGCCCUUGGCUCAACCAAGGAAGGCAUCCGAUACUGCGUGCUUGAGUGUCGGAGGGGGGGCGGAAUCCCGGUGUAGAGUGAAAUUCGUAGAUAUCUGAAGGAACACCAGUGGAUCACAGUGAAUUCGC